GUGAAUUGCUGCAUUCUUUUCACAAAGUCCUUUUUGUUGAAUGGUCGUUCUUUAUAACAUCCAUGAGACCUUUUCUCCUCAAAAUCCUCUGCUCGUACUGAAAAUGCUUUUGAGGGGGGUGAAAAGGUGCCAAUGCCUUGACGGGAAGCAUGAGAAGUCAAUGCGUCUUGCCCAUUUAGACUUUUGCUAGAUGCCCCAAAGAACGAGUAAA
rnacentral:misc_RNA from 1 species